CUGGUUGUUCCCCAAUCUUCUUGUCCACUACCUCUCCGCUGCUAACACAUGCCUGCCGGCUCGCCGCCUGGACAUCGGGACGAGCUCUGCGGCCGCUCGAGCAAUGCAAGUCAUGUGGUCUCGGUAGCACGGGGGAGCAUCUCCUCAGCCGUGUAAGAUCUAGCGGCACGCAGAUUGGACGGACCUUGCAGGCCAACGCGGCGGCCAUGGUGCGCGGAGGAGUAAGCGCCCGUCCAAUCGCCGUCCUCCUUGUCCGUGCCUCCCUCGAAGCUGCCAAAGAUGAGAGCGCCCCCGAUGGAUUGAAGAGUCCUGUGUCAUCUCCUCCUGAUUGGUCCUAUGUUUGUCACCUGCUGGCUAACAGAUCGGAGCCAUGGCCUUGGCCAGACGGAGGCUCAGACAUCGCUAACGCCGUCGCUCUCUGGGAGGCUUCUCCAUGCUUGUUGGAGACAGCCACCACGGUUGCCCUCUUCGUCGGGAUGAUCUGCCACUCUGCUUGCUGCACUUCCUCUACUGCUCUGCCGUCCGCUGCCGCUUCCUCGCCCAGGCUUUCACUAUCCACUGUUGCCGGUAUGUCACUAUGCUGCUUGGUCAUUUAGACACUGGUACAGGCAUCUGAGAAGCUGGUCUUGCUGCUCAGCCCGCUUCCAUUAGAGGGCGUAGAUCGAGGAAGCCAUCACGGUCCUCGGAAUACUGGUUUUUAUUUUCUUUUUCAGUGCAGAGGAAAGAGAAGCAAGUAAGCAACGAUUCAGUGAUCCACACUUCCAUAGCUCAGGUGCUUCCUUAUCUUUCUGGCUGUGGCAAAUGCAGCCUUCCUGCUUGAACUAAGCUUGCAAUCAAGUUUCUAGAUGCAAGAUAACCUAAGUUUACUUUGAUACAUUCAGCAGUGUGACAUGUGCUUCUUAUUUCCAUCAAUAGAAUUAUAUUUCAUUAUUGUACCAUAUAGCUACUGUAAUUUUAGACCUUUAUCACCGACUUCCAUCACUGCAGGUUAUAAUGUUCACGUGCUCAACUGCAGUUAGUCAUGUUGGCUGCUAGCAGCUAUGAAAAUGCCUCAGUGUGCGCCAAGGUAAAGUGGUUGCUAAAAAUCCCUACUUUCCUUAUAUCUGCAAGGCCAGUUUCAUGUCCAGCUAUUUUUUAUCAGGCUGACACUCGGUAAUUCUGUCUAAUUAGUAUUAGCACUGCCAUACCAAUAUAGCUACUUAUGCAGACAUUUCCAUUUGUGUAUAUCUAUGUGGCAGUAAUGUUUUUCCUUCCCUAAUUAUCCUUGCUCAGGUUUACAUAACUCUAUUAUUUGAGGAACUCUAUAGGACCUGGUUUCUUGCAUUGCAAUUUGUUUAUACGGUGCCACUCCAAAAGAGGCACAUUGGUUGGGGAAGGAGACAGUUCCAUAGCAAUCAUCCAGGUCAUUCUGUUAAUCUUCUUGGUUCUCCUCUUGAAUGCACCUUAUCAUCUCUUAAGGCUGCUCAUGGUGUUGCACUAUGUCACAGGACAUCAUAGAGACAGGCAACAAACAUCUCCACUCUAAUUAAGUUAGUUAAUGAGCAAUCUGACUAAACUUGAUAGGAGUGCAAUAUAGGAUGUUAGUGUCCUGUUUUGAGUACAUUCACACUGAACAGUUCUUCAGGUUUUUGGUUAUGAAGUUUCAAAACAGGCGACACAUUAUUAUGGUGCUUAAACUGCUGGCUUGCUGCAUAAUGUAUUUAAGUUAGCUCCAUACAAGAUUUUAUGGUAGUGCUCAAGUUCGGUUAUGCAAAUUGCAAGCAAAUCCUAUUAAGAGAGGAGAAAAAAAUUAAGGCAGACACAAGUUUCAUGUGUAUAUCAGUUGAAACUUUUAGUUUAUUGAGCUUCCUAGCUAGAAUUUAUUUCUUUUUAAAUAAAGGUUUGCUAGAAAGUGUUUACUCUAUUAGACAUUGUAUUGGAUAUAUUUUAUCUGAAGAUUAUACACUACCUGAAGAUUGUUUUCUAAAGACAAGUAUAUUGAAAUAUGUACUUGGUGAUAGCUUAAGCUCCUAAACUAAGCGAUGGACAAAUGAAAGUAUUAAAACUAGGUAAUGACAGUGUCUUCUCAUAUCCAUUCCCCAUCAGAAGCAUCACCCUAGCAAAUACUUCUUUAUAAAUGUUUCCCAUAUUUUUUCCCAAUGGUUGUAGCUGGUGGCUCCUAUACAACCAAUGAACCAAUGCACAGAAGAGUACUUAAAGGAAGAGGUUCGCCUGGCACAAGCUCUUUUCCUCGCAAGAAAUAUAGUGCUUGAUGGUUUAUUGUCAAAAUCAGUCCGAAUGCCAAAUUGUUUAGGUGCCCUCAUUACUGUACCAAAUAGCGCAUGUGGUUGUUCCCUUUACAGUUCAAGCAAAGUAGGAUGCUUAGUCAUAAAAAGAGGAUUGUAGUUUGGGAUCAUUCUGCCAGCAUGAUACUGCUCCAUUGUUCUUGUGGUUUCUGUAUUGUGAAAGGCAUAAUUAUUCUGAUCUAACUGCUUGUGCUGCUUAACUAUUCUAUUGAUCUA